CUGAACUGCUCACAGCCUGCAGGCCAGAGGUCCUCACUCAAGGUGCCCUCAGGGCUUGUCCCCCAGAAGGCCCAAGGGAGGCCCUUCCUGCCUCCUUCAGCAGGGGGACGGGCUGGUGUCCCCGGCUGUGGCUAUGUCACUCGGACCUCGCCUUCUCUCACUGUGCCUGUCCUUUCUCAUCUCUAAGAGGACACGGCUCGCUGGGGUUAAGUCCAUGUUCUGCUCACUCGGGAUUUCUGGAAGAAGGACCGGAACACUGGUUCUUAUGCACCUGGAUAAACGCGCUCCCACCUACAGCAUCCACAGAACACGGAGUCCGUCCCAGUGCACCACCCUGAUCCACUUGCUGGACUUACUGAGCAAGCUCUCUGUGCAGGUAGAUUUUCCUUAUUCUUUCUGGUGCUCAUGUGGGAAUCCAUCCUGUGAGUUGUCUUCACUUAGGAGGUUUAACGCGAAGUGGUCAGCAGCACCCGCCACCUCUGCUUCUAUGUGCCAGGGGAGGGAUAUUCAUGCGGUGAAUUCCCAGACCCAAGGAAGCUACCUCACACUGGACUCGAUGAGACGCUGGUAGACACAGCCCUGCUGACUCCCGGGAAGCCCGCUCUCUGGGCAUCUCCCCUGUGCCCAGCGGCCAUGGUGCAGAGGGGACAGGGUGCAAACUUGAGGCAGGCAAGACCUGUUGCUUCCAAGGAGCAAGCUGAAGAACAGCACGCAGGAGUCAUGCUGUUUAGAAUGAAGAGAGAAGGAAAAAAGACAAGCAGUGAUCGGAGCAAUAGUGUGCGUUGGGGACUGAUAUUCUCAAAGGGGUGAAGAACUUCCGGGAUGCAUAAUGCAGAUUUCUCUGGGACAGGAGAGGGGAUUAGAAUUGGGGCUCAAAGUGAGAGCUGCCUAACCUUGAUUUGUAAAGUAGUCUCUCCCUCUUUCUCUCUCUCUUCCUCUCUCUCUCUCUCUCUCUCAAGACAUAAGCAUUCAAUAAUUUCAGAAAAGUAAAUAUAUUUUUAAAAGACUAAAAAUAGUGCCAGGUGUGGUGGCACAAGCCUGUAAUUCCAGGACUUGGGAGGCUGAAACAUGAGAAUUGCUGCCAGUUUGAUACCAGCCUGGGCUACAUAGUGAGUUCAAGGCCAGACUAAACUACAUAGAGAGACCCUAUCUCAAAAAAAUCCAAACCAAACAAAAACUAAGAAAGAUGUGAAGUAAACAAGCUAGUAGAUUGAAAAUAAUUAGCGGAGGGCAGAGUAUACAGGUAACUCUGACU
rnacentral:lncRNA from 1 species